UGAGGAAUAUUGGACAAUGGGCGAGAGCCUGAUCCAGCCAUGCCGCGUGCAGGAAGACGGCCCUAUGGGUUGUAAACUGCUUUUAUACAGGAAGAAACACUCCCUCGUGAGGGAGCUUGACGGUACUGUAGGAAUAAGGAUCGGCUAACUCCGUGCCAGCAGCCGCGGUAAUACGGAGGAUCCAAGCGUUAUCCGGAAUCAUUGGGUUUAAAGGGUCCGUAGGCGGGAUAAUAAGUCAGCGGUGAAAGUCUGUGGCUCAACCAUAGAAUUGCCAUUGAUACUGUUGUUCUUGAGUGUUUAUGAAGUGGUUAGAAUAUGUAGUGUAGCGGUGAAAUGCUUAGAUAUUACAUGGAAUACCGAUUGCGAAGGCAGAUCACUAUAAAAUACUGACGCUGAUGGACGAAAGCGUAGGUAGCGAACAGGAUUAGAUACCCUGGUAGUCUACGCCGUAAACGAUGGUUACUAGCUGUUCGGAAG
rnacentral:rRNA from 1 species